rnacentral:rRNA from 1 species
UACGAAGGGGGCUAGCGUUGUUCGGCCUCACUGGGCGUAAAGCGCACGCAGGCGGAUCGAUAAGUCGGGGGUGAAAGCCCGGGGCUCAACCUCGGAAUUGCCUUCGAUACUGUCGGUCUCGAGUCCGGGAGAGGUGAGUGGAAUUCCUAGUGUAGAGAUGAAAUUCGUAGAUAUUAGGAAGAACACCAGUGGCGAAGGCGGCUCACUGGCCCGGUACUGACGCUCAGGUGCGAAAGCGUGGGGAGCAAACAGG